rnacentral:rRNA from 1 species
GAUGAACGCUAGCUACAGGCUUAACACAUGCAAGUCGAGGGGAAACGACAUCGAAAGCUUGCUUUUGGUGGGCGUCGACCGGCGCACGGGUGAGUAACGCGUAUCCAACCUGCCCACCACUUGGGGAUAACCUUGCGAAAGUAAGACUAAUACCCAAUGAUAUCCCACGAAGGCAUCCGAAUGGGAUUAAAGAUUUAUCGGUGAUGGAUGGGGAUGCGUCUGAUUAGCUUGUUGGCGGGGUAACGGCCCACCAAGGCUACGAUCAGUAGGGGUUCUGAGAGGAAGGUCCCCCCACAUUGGAACUGAGACACGGUCCAAACUCCUACGGGAGGCAGCAGUGAGGAAUAUUGGUCAAUGGGCGAGAGCCUGAACCAGCCAAGUAGCGUGCAGGACGACGGCCCUAUGGGUUGUAAACUGCUUUUANAAGGGAAUAAAGUGAGUCUCGUGAGACUUUUUGCAUGUACCUUAUGAAUAAGGACCGGCUAAUUCCGUG